rnacentral:rRNA from 1 species
UGGCGACCGGCGCACGGGUGAGUAACGCGUAUGCAACUUACCUAUCAGGAGGGGAUAGCCCGGCGAAAGUCGGAUUAAUACCCCAUGAAACAGGGGUCCCGCAUGGGAAUAUUUGUUAAAGAUUCAUCGCUGAUAGAUAGGCAUGCGUUCCAUUAGGCAGUUGGCGGGGUAACGGCCCACCAAACCGACGAUGGAUAGGGGUUCUGAGAGGAAGGUCCCCCACAUUGGUACUGAGACACGGACCAA